GAUGAACGCUAGCGGGAGGCCUAACACAUGCAAGCCGAGCGGUAUUUGUUCUUCGGAACAGAGAGAGCGGCGCACGGGUGCGGAACACGUGUGCAACCUGCCUUUAUCUGGGGGAUAGCCUUUCGAAAGGAAGAUUAAUACCCCAUAAUAUAUUGAGUGGCAUCAUUUGAUAUUGAAAACUCCGGCGGAUAGAGAUGGGCACGCGCAAGAUUAGAUAGUUGGUGAGGUAACGGCUCACCAAGUCAAUGAUCUUUAGGGGGCCUGAGAGGGUGAUCCCCCACACUGGUACUGAGACACGGACCAGACUCCUACGGGAGGCAGCAGUGAGUAAUAUUGGACAAUGGGUUAGCGCCUGAUCCAGCCAUCCCGCGUGAAGGACGACGGCCCUAUGGGUUGUAAACUUCUUUUGUAUAGGGAUAAACCUACUCUCGUGAGAGUAGCUGAAGGUACUAUACGAAUAAGCACCGGCUAACUCCGUG
rnacentral:rRNA from 1 species